rnacentral:rRNA from 2 species
AACUUUCAACAACGGAUCUCUUGGUUCUGGCAUCGAUGAAGAACGCAGCGAAAUGCGAUAAGUAAUGUGAAUUGCAGAAUUCAGUGAAUCAUCGAAUCUUUGAACGCACAUUGCGCCCACCAGUAUUCUGGUGGGCAUGCCUAUUCGAGCGUCAU